UCGUUUUAAGUUAACACACGCCUUUUUUUUUUUCUUCCUCGUUCCAUAUCACGUCUAUUGAGAACUCAGAAGACAGAUUUAAUGAUAUCGUAUGUAUACAUUGCUGUGAGUCCUUCAAUUCUUCCCAACAUAUUCAACCACGAAGAAAUGCAUCUUAUUUCCAUUUGAGCUAAUGAUGAACAAGAUAAGGAAGCUGAAAGAUUGAAUAAUUGAAAAAAAAUAAAGAAGAAAUAGUGGUGGAUACAAAAUCUACUAUACCAAUCACAUCAAUGACUCUAGAGGCUUCACAACUUAGAACCAGGAGACCAUUUUCUAUUUCUGAAGUCGAAGCACUUGUGGAAGCACCAAACUGAACUGAUUCAGACAUUUGGGACUUCAGUUAAAGUCUGAUUGGAGUUGAAACUUGAAAGGGUGUACAAAGAAAGAUUUAGAUAAAGAGUACGAAGGGGGAUAAGGGGGUUUUAAGGUUUUAAGUUUUAACAUGUUGAUUUUUCAUUUGGUUCAUAUGAUUCUUUUGUACAUUGUAAUUCUAUUUGUAAUUGGAUGUAGUUUGUAAUUCUUUUACAAUUCUUUUAUGCAAUUCAAUAAAUUCUAUAAA